CUCAACACUAGGCAGAAAUCCUAGCGUCACUCACCCCUCAGACCACACCAGCGUCACACACUCACUCACACCCCUCAGACCACACCAGCGUCACACACUCACCCCUCAGACCACACCAGCGUCACACACUCACCCCUCAGACCACACCAGCGUCACACUCUCAGACCACACCAGCGUCACACACUCACUCUCACCCCUCAGACCACACCAGCGUCACACACUCACCCCUCAGACCACACCAGCGUCACACUCUCAGACCACACCAGCGUCACACACUCACCCCUCAGACUACACCUGCGUCACACACUCACCCCUCAGACCACACCAGCGUCACACACUCACUCACACCCCUCAGACCACACCAGCGUCACACUCUCAGACCACACCAGCGUCACACACUCACUCCUCAGACCACACCAGCGUCACACUCACACCCCUCAGACCACACCAGCGUCACACUCACACCCCUCAGACCACACCAGUGUCACACUCUCAGACCACACCAGCGUCACACACUCAGACCACACCAGCGUCACACUCUCACCCCUCAGACCACACCAGCAUCACACCCCUCAGACCACACCAGCGUCACACUCUCAGACCACACCAGCGUCACACACUCACCCCUCAGACCACACCAGCGUCACACUCUCAGACCACACCAGCGUCACACUCUCAGACCACACCAGCGUCACACUCUCAGACCACACCAGCGUCACACUCUCAGACCACACCAGCGUCACACUCUCAGACCACACCAGCGUCACACACUCUCACCUCAGACCACACCAGCGUCACACUCUCAGACCACACCAGCGUCACACUCUCACCCCUCAGACCACACCAGCGUCACACACUCACCCCUCAGACCACACCAGCGUCACACUCUCAGACCACACCAGCGUCACACUCUCAGACCACACCAGCGUCUCACUCUCACCCCUCAGACCACACCAGCGUCACACACUCACCCCUCAGACCACACCAGCGUCACACACUCAGACCACACCAGCGUCACACUCUCAGACCACACCAGCGUCACACUCUCAGACCACACCAGCGUCACACUCUCACUCCUCAGACCACACCAGCGUCACACACUCACCCCUCAGACCACACCAGCGUCACACACUCAGACCACACCAGCGUACCCAACCCCCUCAGGCCAGACCAGCACAGUCCAACUCCCAGGCCAGACCAGCAUAGCCCAUCCUUCAUGCCAGAUCAGCGCCAGACACAGCCCAGGCCAGACCAACAC
rnacentral:lncRNA from 1 species